AUUGAACGCUGGCGGCAGGCCUAACACAUGCAAGUCGAGCGGAUGAAUGGAGCUUGCUCCUGGAUUCAGCGGCGGACGGGUGAGUAAUGCCUAGGAAUCUGCCUGGUAGUGGGGGAUAACGUCCGGAAACGGGCGCUAAUACCGCAUACGUCCUGAGGGAGAAAGUGGGGGAUCUUCGGACCUCACGCUAUCAGAUGAGCCUAGGUCGGAUUAGCUAGUUGGUGGGGUAAAGGCCUACCAAGGCGACGAUCCGUAACUGGUCUGAGAGGAUGAUCAGUCACACUGGAACUGAGACACGGUCCAGACUCCUACGGGAGGCAGCAGUGGGGAAUAUUGGACAAUGGGCGAAAGCCUGAUCCAGCCAUGCCGCGUGUGUGAAGAAGGUCUUCGGAUUGUAAAGGACUUUAAGUUGGGAGGAAGGGCAGUAAGUUAAUACCUUGCUGUUUUGACGUUACCAACAGAAUAAGCACCGGCUAACUUCGUG
rnacentral:rRNA from 1 species